rnacentral:rRNA from 1 species
CGAACGGUGAUAGCAAUAUCAUAGUGGCGCACGGGUGCGUAACACGUAUGCAACCUACCUUAUAGACGGGGAUAGCCUUUGGAAACGGAGAUUAAUACCCGAUAGUAUAUAUUGAUGGCAUCGUUAAUAUAUUAAAGAUUUAUCGCUAUAAGUUGGUCAUGCGUCCAAUUAGUUAGUUGGCGGGGUAAUGGCUCACCAAGACGAUGAUUGGUAGGGGAACUGAGAGGUUAAUCCCCCACACUGGCACUGAGAUACGGGCCAAACUCCUACGGGAGGCAGCAGUAGGGAAUAUUGGGCAAUGGAGGCAACUCUGACCCAGCCAUGCCGCGUGCAGGAUGAAGGCGUUAUGCGUUGUAAACUGCUUUUAUAUAGGAAAAAAUAGACCUUGCGAGGUAAGUUGACGGUACUAUAUGAAUAAGCACCGGCUAACUCCGUGCCAGCAGCCGCGGUAAUACGGAGGGUGCAAGCGUUGUCCGGAUUUAUUGGGUUUAAAGGGUGCGUAGGCGGUUUAUUAAGUCAGUGGUGAAAGACGGUCGCUCAACGAUUGCAGUGCCAUUGAUACUGGUAGACUUGAGUGAGAUUGAGGUAGCUGGAAUGGAUAGUGUAGCGGUGAAAUGCAUAGAUAUUAUCCAGAACACCAAUUGCGUAGGCAAGUUACUAAGUCUCAACUGACGCUGAGGCACGAAAGUGUGGGUAUCAAACAGGAUUAGAUACCCUGGU